CCUACACGACCGUACCGCAAACCGACACUGGUGCGCGAGAUGAGUAUUCUAAGGCGCUUGAGAGAACUCAGGAGAAGGAACUCGGCAAAUUGACACCGUAACUUCGGAAGAAGGUGUGCCUUUAGUAGGUGAAGUCCCUCGCGGAUGGAGCCCAAUGAGGUUGCAAAAAAUCGGUGGCUGCGACUGUUUAUUAAAAACACAGCACUCUGCAAACACGAAAGUGGACGUAUAGGGUGUGACGCCUGCCCGGUGCUGGAAGAUUAAAUGAUGGGGUGCAAGCUCUUGAUUGAAGUCCCAGUAAACGGCGGCCGUAACUAUAACGGUCCUAAGGUAGCGAAAUUCCUUGUCGGGUAAGUUCCGACCUGCACGAAUGGCGUAACGAUGGCCACACUGUCUCCUCCUGAGACUCAGCGAAGUUGAAAUGUUUGUGAUGAUGCAAUCUCCCCGCGGAAAGACGGAAAGACCCCAUGAACCUUUACUGUAGCUUUGUAUUGGACUUUGAACAGAUCUGUGUAGGAUAGGUGGGAGGCUUUGAAGCAGGGUCGCUAGAUCUUGUGGAGCCAACGUUGAAAUACCACCCUGGUGUGUUUGAGGUUCUAACCUAGGCCCGUAAUCCGGGUUGGGGACAGUGCAUGGUAGGCAGUUUGACUGGGGCGGUCUCCUCUCAAAGUGUAACGGAGGAGUUCGAAGGUACGCUAGUUACGGUCGGACAUCGUGACGAUAGUGCAAUGGCAUAAGCGUGCUUAACUGCGAGACUGACAAGUCGAGCAGAUGCGAAAGCAGGACAUAGUGAUCCGGUGGUUCUGUAUGGAAGGGCCAUCGCUCAACGGAUAAAAGGUACUCUGGGGAUAACAGGCUGAUACUGCCCAAGAGUUCAUAUCGACGGCGGUGUUUGGCACCUCGAUGUCGGCUCAUCUCAUCCUGGGGCUGUAGCCGGUCCCAAGGGUAUGGCUGUUCGCCAUUUAAAGAGGUACGUGAGCUGGGUUUAAAACGUCGUGAGACAGUUUGGUCCCUAUCUUCCGUGGGCGCUGCAGAUUUGAGGAAGCCUGCUCCUAGUACGAGAGGACCGGAGUGGACGCACCUCUGGUGUAUCGGUUGUCACGCCAGUGGCAUUGCCGAGUAGCUAUGUGCGGAAGAGAUAACCGCUGAAAGCAUCUAAGCGGGAAACUCGUUUCAAGAUGAGAUCUGCCGGGGCCUUGAGCCCCCUGAAGAGUCGUUCAAGACCAGGACGUUGAUAGGUCGGGUGUGGAAGCGCAGUAAUGCGUUAAGCUAACCGAUACUAAUUGCUCGUGCGGCUUGACCU
rnacentral:rRNA from 1 species